CCUAAGCCUGAGCCUAAGCUUAAGCAUAAGCCUAAGCCUGAGAUUAAGGCUAAGCCUAAACCUGUGCCUAAGCCUAAGGCUAAGCCUGAGACUAAAGAUGAGCCUAAGCCUAAGCCUACGCCUGAGCCUGGGCCUGCUGCUAAGCCUAAGCCUAAGCCUAAGCCUAAGCCUAGGCCUAAGCCUAAGCCUAAGCCUAAGGCUGAGCCUAAGCCUAAUAGAAAGC
ensembl:ncRNA F54F12.3 ncRNA